rnacentral:rRNA from 1 species
CCUGAUGGAGGGGGAUAACUACUGGAAACGGCAGCUAAUACCGCAUAACGUCGCAAGACCAAUGAGGGGGACCUUCGGGCCUCUUGCCAUCACAUGUGCCCAGAUGGGAUUAGCUGGUAGGCGGGGUAAUGGCCCACCUAGGCGACUAUCCCUAGCUGGUCUGACAGGAUGACCAGCCACACUGGAACUGUUUACAUGUUUCACACUCCUACGGGAUCCCCAAGCGGGGAAUUUUAAUCAAUUACCUCCUGCCUGAUAAACACAUGAUGUUAUCCACCCCUAAGCUCCACCGUUUACG